rnacentral:lncRNA from 10 species
GGGCUCCCCGGGCUCAGCAACACCCACCUCUGUGGCUGGGAGCUGGGCUCAGCCACAUCCCUGCAACUUCUCCGGGACACCGCCAUCCAGCUACGCCAAGGCCUGACGGCGGCUCCAUGUUUCCUGCCAAUGGCGGUGCUAUUAAUUUCUGCAUCUGAAAGGUGAGGGUGCAUGGGAUGGAAGAGGAUCUAGCGGGUGGACGUGAUCACAGCAGCUGCAUCUGGAAGGCGAGGGUGCAUGGGAUGGAAGCAGAUCUGGUGGGUGGAGGUGAGGACUACUGCAGCUGCAUCUGGAAGGUCAAACGCUCAGAGCCAUAUGUGGCUCGAGGCUGCCAUGUUGCACAGUGCAAAUCCACAGAGCGUUUCAUCCAAUGGUAUUGCCCUUGAAGGUGGGCAUUCCACAGCCCGCGGCCCUGACGAGGGAAAUGCACAGAGCCUCCUCCUGACCCGCAG